GGACGUUGAUAGGCAGGGUGUGUAAGCGUUGUGAGGCGUUGAGCUAACCUGUACUAAUGACUCGUGAGGCUUAACCAUACAACCCAGAUGAGUUU
rnacentral:rRNA from 1 species